rnacentral:rRNA from 1 species
UACAGAGGGGGCAAGCGUUAUUCGGAAUUAUUGGGCGUAAAGGGCGCGUAGGCGGCUUGGCAAGUGGAAGGUGAAAUCCCUCGGCUUAACCGAGGAACUGCCCUCCAAACUGCUUUGCUUGAGGCCGGGGGAGGCGAGUGGAACUGCGAGUGUAGAGGUGAAAUUCGUAGAUAUUCGCAAGAACACCAGUGGCGAAGGCGGCUCACUGGCCCGGUACUGACGCUGAGGUGCGAAAGCGUGGGGAGCAAACAGG